rnacentral:rRNA from 1 species
GUAGGUGGCAAGCGUUGUCCGGAAUUAUUGGGGCGUAAAGCGCGCGCAGGCGGUUCUUUAAGUCUGAUGUGAAAGCCCACGGGCUCAACCGUGGAGGGUCAUUGGAAACUGGAGAACUUGAGUACAGAAGAGGAAAGCGGAAUUCCACGUGUAGCGGUGAAAUGCGUAGAGAUGUGGAGGAACACCAGUGGCGAAGGCGGCUUUCUGGUCUGUAACUGACGCUGAGGCGCGAAGGCGUGGGGAGCAAACAGGAUUAGAUACCCUGGUAGUCCACGCCGUAAACGAUGAGUGCUAAGUGUUAGGGGGUUUCCGCCCCUUAGUGCUGCAGCUAACGCAUUAAGCACUCCGCCUGGGGAGUACGGCCGCAAAGGCUG